GGACGAACGCUGGCGGUGUGCCUAAUACAUGCAAGUCGAACGGAGACUGUAGCAAUACUGUCUUAGUGGCGAACGGGUGAGUAACGCGUUGGUGAUCUGCCUCGAAGUGUGGAAUAACCUCCCGAAAGGGAAGCUAAUACCGCAUAGUCUCUCAAGGUUUAGAAGAUUGAGAGUAAAGGAUUUAUUCGCUUCGAGAGGAGCCUGCGUCCCAUCAGCUAGUUGGUAGGGUAACGGCCUACCAAGGCAAUGACGGGUAGGGGACCUGAGAGGGUGGCCCCCCACAAUGGAACUGAAACACGGUCCAUACACCUACGGGUGGCAGCAGUAGGGAAUAUUAGAAAUGGGCGGAAGCCUGAUCUAGCAACACCGCGUGUGCGAUGAAGGCCUUCGGGUCGUAAAGCACUUUUUGGAGGGAAUAGGAAGGAAGGUACCUCCAGAAUAAGUCUCGGCUAACUACGUGCCAGCAGCCGCGGUAACACGUAGGAGGCAAACGUUAUCCGGAUUCACUGGGCGUAAAGCGCGUGCAGGUGGUUUCGUAAGUAGGGCGUGAAAGCUCCCGGCUCAACUGGGAGAGGCCGUACUAAACUGCGGAGCUAGAGGAUGGUAGAGGGAGGUGGAAUUCCAGGUGUAGUGGUGAAAUGCGCAGAUAUCUGGAGGAACACCAGUGGCGAAGGCGGCCUCCUGGACCAUACCUGACACUCAGACGCGAAAGCUAGGGUAGCAAACGGAAUUAGAGACUCCGGUAGUCCUAGCCCUAAACGAUGCAGACUAGGCGUCGGCGGUUUAAUCACCGUCGGUGUCCAAGCUAACGCGAUAAGUCUGCCGCCUGAGGACUACGGCCGCAAGGCUAAAACUCAAAGGAAUUGACGGGUCCCCGCACAAGCAGCGGAGCGUGUGGUUUAAUUCGAUGCUCCGCGAAGAACCUUACCUGGGUUUGACAUAACAGUGGUAGAGAAACGAAAGUGGACCGACCCUUCGGGGAGCUGUUACAGGUGUUGCAUGGCUGUCGUCAGCUCGUGUCGUGAGAUGUUGGGUUAAGUCCCGCAACGAGCGCAACCCUUGCCAUUAGUUGCUACGAAAGGGCACUCUAAUGGGACUGCCGGUGACAAACCGGAGGAAGGUGGGGAUGACGUCAAGUCCUCAUGGCCCUUAUAGGUGGGGCUACACACGUCAUACAAUGGCCGGUACAAAGGGUAGCCAACCCGCGAGGGGGAGCCAAUCCCAUAAAGCCGGUCGUAGUCCGGAUCGCAGUCUGCAACUCGACUGCGUGAAGUCGGAAUCGCUAGUAAUCGUGGAUCAGCAUGUCACGGUGAAUACGUUCCCGGGUCU
rnacentral:rRNA from 1 species